GUGACCUCAAAUCAGGUAGGACUACCCGCUGAACUUAAGCAUACCAAUAAGCGGAGGAAAAGAAACUAACAAGGAUUCCCCUAGUAACUGCGAGUGAAGCGGGAAAAGCUCAAAUUUAAAAUCUGUCAGUCUUUGAUUGAUCGAGUUGUAAUCUAGAGAAGUGU
rnacentral:rRNA from 1 species